rnacentral:rRNA from 1 species
UGGGGAAUCUUGCACAAUGGGGGCAACCCUGAUGCAGCGACGCCGCGUGAGCGAUGAAGCCCUUCGGGGCGUAAAGCUCUUUCGACCGGAACGAUAAUGACGGUACCGGGAGAAGAAGCUGCGGCUAACUACGUGCCAGCAGCCGCGGUAAUACGUAGGCAGCAAGCGUUGUUCGGAGUUACUGGGCGUAAAGAGUGCGUAGGCGGUUUUCUAAGUUCGGUGUGAAAUCUCCCGGCUUAACUGGGAGGGUGCGCCGAAGACUGGGAAGCUGGAGUGUGGGAAAGGCAGGCGGAAUUCCUGGUGUAGCGGUGAAAUGCGUAGAUAUCAGGAGGAACACCGGCGGUGUAGACGGCUUGCUAGACCAUAACUGGCGCUGAGGCACGAAAGCGUGGGUAGCAAACA